rnacentral:rRNA from 1 species
CCUACGGGAGGCAGCAGUGGGGAAUAUUGCGCAAUGGGCGAAAGCCUGACGCAGCGACGCCGCGUGAGGGAUGAAGGUCUUCGGAUCGUAAACCUCUGUCAGCAGGGAAGCAAGGUCACUGUGCUAAUCAGCAGUGAAUUGACGGUACCUGCAAAGGAAGCACCGGCUAACUCCGUGCCAGCAGCCGCGGUAAUACGGAGGGUGCGAGCGUUAAUCGGAAUUACUGGGGGUAAAGCGCUCGUAGGCGGUAUGUCAAGGCAAGGGGGAAAUCCCCGCGCGCAACGUGGGAACUGCCGUUGAAACUGGCAAACUUGAGUGGGUGAGAGGAUAGUGGAAUGCCAGGUGUAGGAGUGAAAUCCGUAGAUAUCUGGAGGAACAUCAGUUGCGAAGGCGACUAUCUGGCACAUAACUGACGCUGAGGAGCGAAAGCGUGGGUAGCAAACAGGAUUAGAUACCCGGGUAGUC